GAUGAAGAACGUAGUGAAAUGCGAUAAGUAGUGUGAAUUGCAGAAUUCCGUGAAUCAUCGAAUCUUUGAACGCACAUUGCGCCUUCUGGUAUUCCGGAAGGCAUGCCUGUUCGAGAGUCAUUAACAACCGUUUCGAUCCCUUUCUUUCAGAAAUUACAAAGAGGAAAAGGGUUUGGUUAUGGUGGAGGAGGGAAAGGGAGCGUUUAGCCUGUAAAAAAAGAGGCUGUGUUCCGCCUCCCCCCCAAAAUUGUACAGGCGGUCGUGUGCGCCCACGCAUCGAGGUGUUGUAAAAGCUGCCACGGCACUUUUCACCUGUGCAGUGCGAGAUUGGCCAGCCGGUUUAAAAACCCCUCCAAACAAUCAAAGGUUGACCUCGGAUCAGGUAGGGAUACCCGCUGAACUUAAGCAUAUCAAUAAGCGGAGA
rnacentral:misc_RNA from 1 species